rnacentral:rRNA from 1 species
AAAACGGGUGGUAAUGCCGGAUGCUCCAGUUGAUCGCAUGGUCUUCUGGGAAAGCUUUCGCGGUAUGGGAUGGGGUCGCGUCCUAUCAGCUUGACGGCGGGGUAACGGCCCACCGUGGCUUCGACGGGUAGCCGGCCUGAGAGGGCGACCGGCCACAUUGGGACUGAGAUACGGCCCAGACUCCUACGGGAGGCAGCAGUGGGGAAUAUUGCACAAUGGGCGCAAGCCUGAUGCAGCGACGCCGCGUGAGGGAUGGAGGCCUUCGGGUUGUAAACCUCUUUUAUCGGGGAGCAAGCGAGAGUGAGUUUACCCGUUGAAUAAGCACCGGCUAACUACGUGCCAGCAGCCGCGGUAAUACGUAGGGUGCAAGCGUUAUCCGGAAUUAUUGGGCGUAAAGGGCUCGUAGGCGGUUCGUCGCGUCCGGUGUGAAAGUCCAUCGCUUAACGGUGGAUCCGCGCCGGGUACGGGCGGGCUUGAGUGCGGUAGGGGAGACUGGAAUUCCCGGUGUAACGGUGGAAUGUGUAGAUA